GUGCCAGCCGCCGCGGUAAUACAGAGGUCUCAAGCGUUGUUCGGAUUCAUUGGGCGUAAAGGGUGCGUAGGCGGCGAGGCAAGUCUGGUGUGAAAUCCCGGGGCUCAACCCCGGAACUGCACUGGAUACUGCUUUGCUAGAGUACUGGAGAGGGAACUGGAAUUUACGGUGUAGCAGUGAAAUGCGUAGAUAUCGUAAGGAAGACCAGUGGCGAAGGCGAGUUCCUGGACAGUUACUGACGCUGAGGCACGAAGGCCAGGGGAGCAAACGGGAUUAGAUACCCCGGUAGUCCUGGCAGUAAACGGUGCGCGUUUGGUGUGGGAGGAUUCGACCCCUUCCGUGCCGGAGCUAACGCGUUAAACGCGCCGCCUGGGGAGUACGGUCGCAAGAUUAAAACUCAAAGGAAUUGACGG
rnacentral:rRNA from 1 species